ACGGGUGAGUAAUGUCUGGGAAACUGCCUGAUGGAGGGGGAUAACUACUGGAAACGGUAGCUAAUACCGCAUAACGUCGCAAGACCAAAGAGGGGGACCUUCGGGCCUCUUGCCAUCAGAUGUGCCCAGAUGGGAUUAGCUAGUAGGUGGGGUAACGGCUCACCUAGGCGACGAUCCCUAGCUGGUCUGAGAGGAUGACCAGCCACACUGGAACUGAGACACGGUCCAGACUCCUACGGGAGGCAGCAGUGGGGAAUAUUGCACAAUGGGCGCAAGCCUGAUGCAGCCAUGCCGCGUGUGUGAAGAAGACCUUCGGGUUGUAAAGCACUUUCAGCGGGGAGGAAGGGGGUAAGGUUAAUAACCUUAUUCAUUGACGUUACCCGCAGAAGAAGCACCGGCUAACUCCGUGCCAGCAGCCGCGGUAAUACGGAGGGUGCAAGCGUUAAUCGGAAUUACUGGGCGUAAAGCGCACGCAGGCGGUCUGUCAAGUCGGAUGUGAAAUCCCCGGGCUCAACCUGGGAACUGCAUUCGAAACUGGCAGGCUAGAGUCUUGUAGGGGGGGGUAGAAUUCCAGGUGUAG
rnacentral:rRNA from 1 species